rnacentral:misc_RNA from 1 species
AACUUUUGGCAAUGGAUCACUAGGCUCUUGCAUCGAUGAAGAACGCAGUGAAAUGCGAUAAGUAAUGUGAAUUGCAGAAUCUCGUGAAUCAUUGAAUCAUUGAACGCACAUUGCGCCCUAUGGUAUUCCAUAGGGCAUACCUGUUUGAGCGUCAGCUCCCCCCAUUCUCAAGCACUAUUUUAUAAUGUUUGGAUUUCUUUGGAGAGGCACCUCUUUAAAUAGAGUCGCCCUUCAGAAAUGUAUAGAGCAUUAUGGUUUAUUAUCUUAACGAGGCGUAAUAGUUAUAAAGUCGCUUAAUUCACACCAUAAUCGUACUUGUCUUAACCCACACCCAAUUGAUCUUAACUCGGUUGACCUCUGAUCAGUGAGGGAGACCCGCUGAACUUAAGCAUAUCAAUAAGCGGAUGCU